rnacentral:lncRNA from 1 species
UAAUACAUUAAAAAUCAAGAUAUAAGUUGGAAUUUUUUAUUUAAUCUACCGAUUAAUGAUCGACCGAUUAAUCCAGUCAAUAAACCGAUUCACCGAUUAAUGGCUACUCCCAAGACGACCGAGUAGGGUUACCGAUUUCUUAAACAUUGCCGACCGGUGCAGAAAUCCCUUAAAUUCCCCACAUGCCCCGUUUGGUAGCCAGGUACUUACAUGCUCAUCCCCAAAAUUACUCGCCGAAACCCUGACCUCCAAUACUUGUGGCAGAGGAGACACGAGGCGAAUGAGGUAGCGCCGUCAUGGUUCAGGGAGAAAAUUACUGGAAACAUUCAAUACUUGGAUUAUCUAACCCCUUAGACCAACUAAUCUAUUUUUUUCUUUGAAAUUCGGCCAUAAGGAUCUCGAUUUCUUAAAAAAGCAGAAGAGAGUUGCCCUGUAAAUUCCGUUAAUUUACGUUGCUUCUUUGAAAUAACGGGAGCUAGAUCUCCCUUGGCGUCUUUGGACGUCGCUCAUUUCUUUCUAUGGGAGGAGUCGCUCACCUCCUCCUCAUCCUCUUCUUCAUCUAGGUUGGAAGGAGCCAGCGUCUCUUCGGACUUAGUAUCCGGGGGGUCCUUUGACCAAAGACCCUUUCGGAUCUUCUUCUUCCCCUUCUUCUGCUCCCCUUCCCUCUCGGAGUCGUGUAAGGAUUCUCGGCUAACAUGGCCGCCGGCAGUGGGGUCAUGUCGUCUUCAGGCAAAGGUGUCGGGUAGUUAAUCUAUUCGGACUUUUUCAGCUAGGUCUGCAAGCAUGGGGGAAUGAAGAAGUGAGCACCUCGUCAAAAAAGGAAGGGAUGGAAUCUAAAAAAUAUGGUUAAAACCUCAUCGGCCCUCAAUGGUUGAGGAGGGAAAGGCCUUCAUCUUCCUCACCGGCGGGCCAAGUCGUUUGUGGCUUAAAAAGCGCUUUCCACAGCUUCUCACGAGUUGUCGGGGGAAUGAUCCCCAGGUACCCCAAAGACGCAGAGUCGAGCGGGGUGCGUGCCCUCCCCGACCGGCUGCUCCCAUUCCGCCCACGGUCGGCUCCUCUGACCAGCCGGCUACGCCAGCCUGACGACUAUCCGUAGUCAACUACGACGUCCUCUCGGGCGUCGUACUGCUUCAUCUAUAGUGUAACUUGUUCCGUGGGUGCUGGUUUAUAAAGUGCCCCAGGGGACAAGCAUAACUUAGCUAUGAAGCUACAUAUAGCUUGGCAUGUAAGCUAUCCAUAGUAGCUUACAUGCCA